UACGGAGGGGGCUAGCGUUGUUCGGAAUUACUGGGCGUAAAGCGCACGUAGGCGGCUUUGUAAGUUAGAGGUGAAAGCCCAGGGCUUAACCCUGGAAUUGCCUUUAAGACUGCAUCGCUAGAAUCGUGGAGAGGUGAGUGGAAUUCCGAGUGUAGAGGUGAAAUUCGUAGAUAUUCGUAAGAACACCAGUGGCGAAGGCGACUCACUGGACACGUAUUGACGCUGAGGUGCGAAAGCGUGGGGAGCAAACAGG
rnacentral:rRNA from 1 species